CGGACGGGUGAGUAAUGCUUGGGAAUCUAGCUUAUGGAGGGGGAUAACUACGGGAAACUGUAGCUAAUACCGCGUAAUAUCGAAAGAUUAAAGUGUGGGACCUUCGGGCCACAUGCCAUAGGAUGAGCCCAAGUGGGGUUAGGUAGUUGGUGAGGUAAAGGCUCACCAAGCCGACGAUCUCUAGCUGGUCUGAGAGGAUGACCAGCCACACUGGGACUGAGACACGGCCCAG
rnacentral:rRNA from 1 species